rnacentral:rRNA from 1 species
AUGAACGCUGGCGGCGUGCCUCAUACAUGCAAGUCGCGCGAACAGACGAGGAGCUUGCUCCUCUGACGUUAGCGGCGGACGGGUGAGUAACACGUGGAUAACCUACCUAUAAGACUGGGAUAACUUCGGGAAACCGGAGCUAAUACCGGAUAAUAUAUUGAACCGCAUGGUUCAAUAGUGAAAGACGGUUUUGCUGUCACUUAUAGAUGGAUCCGCGCCGCAUUAGCUAGUUGGUAAGGUAACGGCUUACCAAGGCAACGAUGCGUAGCCGACCUGAGAGGGUGAUCGGCCACACUGGUACUGAGACACGGUCCAGACUCCUACGGGAGGCAGCAGUAGGGAAUCUUCCGCAAUGGGCGAAAGCUUGACGGAGCAACGCCGCGUGAGUGAUGAAGGUCUUCGGAUCGUAAAACUCUGUUAUUAGGGAAGAACAAAUGUGUAAGUAACUAUGCACGUCUUGACGGUACCUAAUCAGAAAGCCACGGCUAACUACGUG